rnacentral:rRNA from 1 species
UACGUAGGGGGCAAGCGUUGUCCGGAAUCAUUGGGCGUAAAGCGCGCGUAGGCGGCCCGAUCAGUCCGCUGUAAAAGUCCAGGGCUCAACCCUGGAAAGCCGGUGGAUACUGUCGGGCUAGAGUCCGGAAGAGGCGAGUGGAAUUCCUGGUGUAGCGGUGAAAUGCGCAGAUAUCAGGAAGAACACCAAUGGCGAAAGCAGCUUUCUGGGACGGUACUGACGCUGAGACGCGAAAGCGUGGGGAGCGAACAGG